GGGAACCAAUGCGGAAGUAGCGUUCUCGUUCGGCUCGGUCGAUUCACUCUUCUCGCCGGUCGGGUUUUCCGAAGGAAGGGCCAGCGUGGCCGGUUUAUGAUCGGUCGUUUGGUGACUAAGGUCGCGCAGAGGGUGCCGAGCCAGUUGUACCGAGUGUCCGUGAUGAAGAAGCCGCAGGUAGUGUUCGUGCUUGGCGGGCCGGGCGCCGGUAAAGGGACCCAAUGCGCCAAAAUCGUCGAGAACUACAACUACACCCAUCUGUCAGCGGGAGACCUCCUGCGGGCGGAGCGGGCCAGGGAGGGAUCGGAGUUUGGCCUUCUCAUCGCCAACUUCAUCAAGGAAGGAAAAAUUGUCCCGGUGGAGAUCACCAUCAACUUACUAAGAAUGAAAAUGGAAGAGACCAUGAAAAAGGAUGAAGAAAAAUAUCGCUUCCUCAUCGACGGCUUCCCCCGCAACGAGGACAACCUUCAGGGUUGGAACAAAGUCAUGGACGGAAACGCAGACGUCAAAUUUGUGCUCUUCUUCGACUGCAGCAACGAAGUGUGCAUCAAACGAUGCUUAGAACGAGGGAAGAGCAGCGGGCGCUCGGAUGACAACAGAGAAAGUUUGGAGAAACGAAUCCAAACGUACCUGCAGUCGACGCGGCCGAUCAUCGAUCUGUAUGAGAAGCGAGGCAAGGUGCGCUGCGUGGACGCCUCCAAAUCUGUAGAUGAGAACACCUGUGGAGGGAUCUCAAAAUGACACCCUUCAGAUCUCAGAGACCCGGAGCAGUUGGCAAAGAAGAAUGGUCCAAAUAAAUGAAGAUUUUCUGGGAGAAAUUGAGCAUUGUCUGACAGAAUUGCAGGGGUGCCAAUACUUUUGGCCAGCAGCGUAGCUGUCGGCCAUCUCUGGUCUUUGCCGACGUGAAAGUCAUCUUCGACAAAGAGGGCUGACUUCUCUCCGGCUUCAUUUACCUUUUUAGUUUUUAUCACCUGCUAAUUCGUGAUCAAAUUCAAUUAUUUAUAUAUAACUUUAUACUUUUGCUUAGCUUUAUGUUUAGCGUGUUAAAUCUGCACUGAUUUUUUUUUUUUCUCCUUUGGUUAGGAAUGAAUCAUGAAAAGCCGUCUGUCGUCUUAUUUGGAGCGCUAGCAUUAGCAACAAAACUUACUGUUAGAGAAACAAACGUUGACACUUUGCCCGCCGCCAUUGUUGGAACACCCGCUCCGCUUUUCCGACCAAAUCGGCAAAAAGUAGCGACCAGUAGAAUUGCGUCCGAUUGGCUCAUUCUCCUCCGAUGACGGUCCGAUGAGGCUCCUGCUGUGAAAUUUCGAUGAGUUGUAGAUGUUCGAUCCAUUUGAAGUGGGAGGCUGCUAGCCCUCCCAAUUCAAAGAAAUUGGACUUGUAGUGCGGUUGCAACUGUUGGAAAAGUGUUUCCUUAUGCUAAUGGUGUGUUCACAUGAGUCAAAAUGCAUCACGAUUUUACUUUUUGCAUUGUGAGCGCGUCGACAAAACCGCGACCCUGACCAAGUAGGACUUUUUAUGCCGAGCACUCUACUCGAAAGGUCUGUGAGCUUCUACUCAAAUCAUCGAAACCACUCGAUGUGCUUAUUCAUGCAUCGUACAGUUUGUAUCUCCUGAAGAUCAAAAUAAAUUCAAGAGUAAAAAUCUUA